rnacentral:rRNA from 1 species
UAACGUAGGGUGCGAGCGUUGUCCGGAAUUAUUGGCGUAAAGGGCUCGUAGGCGGUCUGUCACGUCGGGAGUGAAACACGGGGCUUAACCCCGUGCCUGCUUCCGAUACGGGCAGACUAGAGGUAUGCAGGGGAGAACGGAAUUCCUGGUGUAGCGGUGAAAUGCGCAGAUAUCAGGAGGAACACCGGUGGCGAAGGCGGUUCUCUGGGCAUUACCUGACGCUGAGGAGCGAAAGUGUGGGAGGCGAACAGG